CUGGGGAAAAUUAAACAUCUCAAGGGCUCCCUCUGCUGAAAGAAGAAAGUGACUAUCCCAAGAGGAGCAGACCCCCCUGGUCUGUUGCUGCCCCUGUUACUGCUCCCUUGUUUUCCUUUACUCUCGGUCUCUCACUGUCGGAGAAAGAUUAAAGCUCAGGGGGUGAGUAGGAAACCCUACUGACUGCUUGAGGGUGAGGGAAACCUGCAGCUCACCUCUGCCUUCUUCCCAGACCCACAGCCCAAACGAAGAAGUGGGGCUGGGAGUAAGGGGGUGGGGGGCGAGGAAGAAAAGUCAGAGUAAAAUAGAUCCAUCUGACUCUGGUCUUACUUCAAUUGUCUGGACCCCGCUAUCAAACCGGAACGGGAGAAAGAGCCUAUCUGCUGCGGCUCUGAGUACUGUGAGAGCACUUUGAAGCCUCUGCGUGAGGAGGAGGAGGAAGAGGCAGCGGAGGCGUCUGUAACAGCAGCAACAGCAGCAGUAGCAGCAGCAGCGUGAGGGUGCGCGCACUCUGGGCUAGAGAGUGAGCGAACAGUGGAGCUGGGUGAGGGUUUACACGCCGCCCGCCCGCGGAAACAGCAGCAUCCACGCUCAACCUCCCUGCCCCUCCAACAACAGCACCGCCUCUCCCCUGCAGCGUCAGCCCGGGGACUCCCUUUUUCUCCUCCUUCUCUCCUCGUCUGGCCAGACCCGGGGCAGCGCAGAAUGCGCCCAGCUGCUGCGUUCUGAUCGCCCUCCCACAGCCGCCGCCGCCGCCGCCACCGCGAUGAUCUCUCCGGAGCAGCAGCAACAACAGCAGCAGCUGCAGCAGCAACAGCAGCCCAACCAUGUCGUGGCCACCAUCGAGAACCUGCCGGCAGACAGCAGUGGCAGCAGCGGCGGGAGUCUCUCUGCCUCGUCCGCCUCCAGCGUGCGCCAGAGGAUCAGGAAAAUGCUGAACAGAUGGUGGUAAUUUAGUGCGUUUGGCUGCAUCUGGAUACAGAAGCAGAAUGGGGAAGAGUGGAGAAUGCUGGCCUAGGCAUCAAGAAGGUCUUGCUUCUGAAGUUGACUAACUGUGUGAGCAUGGGCAAGCUAUUUAACCUUGCUGGGUUUCAAUUUCCUCAUCUACAAAAUGAGGAUAACAAUAUCAUUAGUUUCUCCCUAUUGGUUGAAAUGUGACUCCAAUGAAAUAAUGCAUGAAAGACAUUUUGCAGACUUUAAAGGACUAUGUAAAUAUCAGAAUUUAUUAUUUGCUUUUGUACUCAUUUUCCACAUGGAGAUAAUUUCUCUGGUUUGUGUAAUAAUAAUUGGUAUUAAAUCAUUCAUUAAAUGAUUUAAUUUUGAGAGUUAUAAACAUUCAGUAUUUAAAGAUCAUCUUUAUGUUCAAUGCUUUCUUAAUAAUGAUGAUGAGAGUGAUGAUGGUAUUAUUUUUUAAUCUUCAACUCUGUGGGGCAUUUAUUUGAAAAUCUUUAACUAUAACAUUUUACAGGCAGAAUUUCAAUUUAUUUCUGAGAAAAGACUACACUUACAAACUAUGCCUAUUCGGGAAUUAUCUGUGACAUUAUGCAUCAGGCUCAAACAAAAGUCCAAAAGUAUUUUUCAAGACACCAUCCUUUCCCUUUGUAAAUGCAAGCUCUGACAGGUCUCCCCAAUCAACAAAGAAGUUUUCCCUUAAUAUGAAAAAUUGCAGAAUUUGCUCACCCUCUGACCCUUUCUAAUAGUAACCCUCAAUAUGCUUUCUUUUUGUCAGAUAUUAGGGAACAAUAACAACAUAAAAAAUAAGCAAGCUCA
ensembl:lncRNA